rnacentral:misc_RNA from 1 species
AGCAGCCGCGGUAAUUCCAGCUCCAAUAGCGUAUAUUAAAGUUGUUGCAGUUAAAAAGCUCGUAGUUGAAUUUCGGGAUUAAUAUGUUGGUCGUGCCUUGGUACGUACUGGCAUUAUUGAUUCCUACCUUCUGAAGAACCUCGAUGUCAUUAAUUUGGUGUCUUGGGGAAUCAGGACCGUUACUUUGAAAAAAUUAGAGUGUUUAAAGCAGGCUCGCGCUUGAAUACAUUAGCAUGGAAUAAUGAAAUAGGACGUUUGAUUCUAUUUUGUUGGUUUCUAGGAUCGACGUAAUGAUUAAUAGGGAUAGUUGGGGGCAUUAGUAUUCAAUUGUCAGAGGUGAAAUUCUUGGAUUUAUUGAAGACUGACUACUGCGAAAGCAUUUGCCAAGGAUGUUUUCAUUAAUCAAGAACGAAAGUUAGGGGAUCGAAGACGAUCAGAUACCGUCGUAGUCUUAACCAUAAACUAUGCCGACUAGGGAUCGGAUGAUGUUAAUUUUAAUGACUCAUUCGGCGCCUUAAC